UCCUCGGGGCCAAGGGGAACAUCCUUCUUUUCUCGCACUUGGUCCUUGCCCCUAACCACGGCUCCUCUUGAUGAAACAGACGAUGAGCAGGAUCAGCACCAGGAGGGCGAUGGCGCACAUGAGCCCGAUGAACCAGCCCUGGGUGACGAUGUCGGGCUGGUUGUUGGUGUAAGCUGCGGGGAGGCCAGAAGCAAACACGUGAAGGACCUCGCAUGGGGGAAGGUGAGGAGGGAGAGGUGAGGAAAGAACUGCAGCUACUUCACAGGGAUGUUAUUCCCAGAGCCUCAUGCUACCAGCUAGCAGCCCUCCGGCCCACACUAGGCAAUACAGAGACAAAGAAAAAAUAAUUAAGGAGCCAAGGUCAAAAGGUUGGAAAA